UGAGGAAUAUUGGUCAAUGGUCGAGAGACUGAACCAGCCAAGCCGCGUGAGGGAAGAAGGCGCUAAGCGUCGUAAACCUCUUUUGUCGGGGGACAAAAAAGGGCACGUGUGCCUUAUUGAGUGUACCCGAAGAAAAAGCAUCGGCUAACUCCGUGCCAGCAGCCGCGGUAAUACGGAGGAUGCGAGCGUUAUCCGGAUUUAUUGGGUUUAAAGGGUGCGUAGGCGGGCAGUUAAGUCAGCGGUAAAAGCCCGGAGCUCAACUCCGGCAAGCCGUUGAAACUGGUUGUCUUGAGUUGGAUAGAAGUAUGCGGAAUGCGCGGUGUAGCGGUGAAAUGCAUAGAUAUCGCGCAGAACUCCGAUUGCGAAGGCAGCAUACCGGGUCCAUACUGACGCUGAGGCACGAAAGCGUGGGGAUCGAACAGG
rnacentral:rRNA from 1 species